rnacentral:rRNA from 1 species
GACGAACGCUGGCGGCGUGCCUAAUACAUGCAAGUAGAACGCUGAAGCUUGGUGCUUGCACCGAGCGGAUGAGUUGCGAACGGGUGAGUAACGCGUAGGUAACCUGCCUGGUAGCGGGGGAUAACUAUUGGAAACGAUAGCUAAUACCGCAUGAUAUUGAUUAUUGCAUGAUAGUCAAUUAAAAGGUGCAAUUGCAUCACUACCAGAUGGACCUGCGUUGUAUUAGCUAGUUGGUGAGGUAACGGCUCACCAAGGCAACGAUACAUAGCCGACCUGAGAGGGUGAUCGGCCACACUGGGACUGAGACACGGCCCAGACUCCUACGGGAGGCAGCAGUAGGGAAUCUUCGGCAAUGGACGGAAGUCUGACCGAGCAACGCCGCGUGAGUGAGGAAGGUUUUCGGAUCGUAAAGCUCUGUUGUAAGAGAAGAACGAGUGUGAGAGUGGAAAGUUCACACUGUGACGGUAUCUUACCAGAAAGGGACGGCUAACUACGUGCCAGCAGCCGCGGUAAUACGUAGGUCCCGAGCGUUGUCCGGAUUUAUUGGGCGUAAAGCGAGCGCAGGCGGUUAGAUAAGUCUGAAGUUAAAGGCUGUGGCUUAACCAUAGUACGCUUUGGAAACUGUUUAACUUGAGUGCAAGAGGGGAGAGUGGAAUUCCAUGUGUAGCGGUGAAAUGCGUAGAUAUAUGGAGGAACACCGGUGGCGAAAGCGGCUCUCUGGCUUGUAACUGACGCUGAGGCUCGAAAGCGUGGGGAGCAAACAGG